rnacentral:rRNA from 1 species
UACGGAGUGUGCGAGCGUUGUCCGGAAUCACUGGGCGUAAAGGGCGCGUAGGCGGUGGGAUAAGCGUGUGGUGAAAGCCCGGGGCUCAACUCCGGGUCGGCCGUGCGAACUGUUUCACUCGAGCACUGUAGAGGCAGGUGGAAUUCCGGGUGUAGCGGUGGAAUGCGUAGAGAUCCGGAAGAACAUCGGUGGCGAAGGCGGCCUGCUGGGCAGUGUCUGACGCUGAGGCGCGACAGCGUGGGGAGCAAACAGG